rnacentral:rRNA from 1 species
UACGUAGGUGGCAAGCGUUAUCCGGAAUUAUUGGGCGUAAAGCGCACGCAGGUGGCGGCUUAAGUCUGACGUGAAAGCUCCUGGCUUAACUGGGAGAGGUCGUUGGCAACUGGGCCGCUUGAGGCAAGGAGAGGGGCGUAGAAUUCCCGGUGUAGUGGUGGAAUGCGUAGAUAUCGGGGGGAAUACCAGAGGCGCAAGCGGCGCCCUGGCCUUGGCCUGACGCUCAGGUGCGAAAGCGUGGGGAGCGAACGGG